UGAAUACAUGCAACCUACCACCAUCAUUUUGGGUAGAAACGCUUCAUAUCGCCGCAUACCUACACAAUAUAACUCCAUGCAAACGACUCCACUUUAACACACCUUGCUAUGCAUUGUACCACUGGCACCCUACGUAUGACCAUUUGCGCAUUUUUGGGUGCGAAUGCUACCCAAAUACAUCUGCAAGUCAACCGCACAAGCUUCAUGCUCGGUCUCUUCGUUGUAUAUUCCUCGGAUAUCGAUAUCACGGUGCUUAAAUCCGAUUACGGGUCACAUCCACAUAUCCCGACAUGUGGAAUUUGAUGAGGCAACCUUUCCAAACAACCGCACCCAACCCCAUCACACCUAUACAUUUCUAGAUGAACCUCCCAUAACCACACAAAAUUACAACUUUCCUACCACUCACACCUCUUAAAACCCUUCCUCCCCACCUACUGUUAACACUUAAACGCCUCAUAACCCCUCGCCGUCUACCUAUGCUUCCACAACCAAUCCAACUUAAUCCACCCUACAGCACUAUGGCCAUUAGAGUAACUAAUACAACAAGCCACCCGCUUCCAACUCCACCGCAUCCUGCCCUCCACCAACGCCCCGAACACUAGGUGUUGAAUAUAUAUGAUUAAUUCAUAUUCUAUACAUUUGUUGGUUGUAUUAUUUAUUGGUCCUUGUAAUAGCUAUUAUAUAUAACGUACUGCUGUUAUAUAUAGCGGACUGGGCUUAUUUGGCUUAUUUUGGGCUUGUUGAUGUUAUAUGAACUGGGCUAUUUGUUCAGUCUUUUGUAACAAACUAUUGGCUGAAAUGGUAAGGUUGUAUUAGUGAGAGGGUUGGAGUUGUAGCUAUUCUUGUGGGGGCAAAGUGUAUUUUUUCUUUUGUAGGAUAUAAAAGACUGGUGAUAUCAGUUAGGGUUUGGCUGAUUCAUUCAUUCUAUCUCAGUCGUUCACCUACAACACACAGUUCUUUAUGUCUGUUCAAAUCAGUGGUUUCGUUCAAGAUAUGAUCUGGUACAGAUGUUGUGGUUCUUGAUCAGCUGUUGGUUCGGUUGUAGUUCCCCCAAUUCUCACAAUCAUCCUUCUUAAUUAUGGUGCGUAUACUCCGGUUCUCUUCCAGAAGUUGUUCACUCUAUUUUCCAGCGUUUGAUAAGGAUCUGAGUUUCCGGCAGUUGCAGUUCUUGGUGAUUACAGGAGUGCUGAUUCUCAAGUCGCUUGCGUGGUUUGAUCUAGUGCUGAAGUUGAAUAUAGAGGUAUCACCAAUGCCAGGUGUUGCAACAACAUGGCUUCGUAAUCUUUUACUCGAGCUAUACGUACCGAUGCACAAAGCCACGGUUGUCUAUUGUGAAUUUACCUCUCCGAGAACCCUGUACAGCACCAGCGAACCAAACAUGUUGAAAUCGACAUCCACUUUGUUCAGGGAAAAGUUUGUUUGGGUCAUGUUCGAGACUGAUAUAUCAGUCUCCAAUACAUAGUAUUUGAGACUGAUUUAUCAGUCACUAAUAAUAUUAGGGACUAAUUUCUAUGCACCGUAUAUUAGUUACUAGAAAUCAGUCUCUAAUAUCUUAACACCUUAUUUGAGACUGAAUUUCUGUCGCAAAUAUGUUUGUGUUGUAUAGCGUUUUGGAAGAACGAUUAUUGGCUACUAAAUUUUAGUCUCAAAUAUGUUUCCCCUAUAAUGAAAAAUGACACAUCUAUGUUGGAGACUAAUAUUUUGUCUCCAAUAUAGAUGGAACAUAUUAGGGACUGAA